AUUGAACGCUGGCGGCAGGCCUAACACAUGCAAGUCGAGCGGCAGCGGGACCUUCGGGUUGCCGGCGAGCGGCGGACGGGUGAGUAAUGCCUAGGAAUCUGCCUGUUAGUGGGGGAUAACGCGGGGAAACUCGCGCUAAUACCGCAUACGUCCUACGGGAGAAAGCGGGGGCUCUUCGGACCUCGCGCUAACAGAUGAGCCUAGGUCGGAUUAGCUAGUUGGUGGGGUAAUGGCCCACCAAGGCGACGAUCCGUAACUGGUCUGAGAGGAUGAUCAGUCACACUGGAACUGAGACACGGUCCAGACUCCUACGGGAGGUAGCAGUGGGGAAUAUUGGACAAUGGGCGAAAGCCUGAUCCAGCCAUGCCGCGUGUGUGAAGAAGGUCUUCGGAUUGUAAAGCACUUUAAGUCGGGAGGAAGGACUGUAGGCUAAUACCUUGCAGUUUUGACGUUACCGACAGAAUAAGCACCGGCUAACUUCGUGCCAGCAGCCGCGGUAAGAC
rnacentral:rRNA from 1 species